rnacentral:rRNA from 1 species
GACGAACGCUGGCGGCGUGCCUAAUACAUGCAAGUCGAACGAACAGCGACUAGGUGCUUGCACUUGGUCAAGGUGAGUGGCGAACGGGUGAGUAACACGUGGGUAACCUACCUCACAGUGGGGGAUAACAGUCGGAAACGACUGCUAAUACCGCUUAGGACAUCGGAUCACAUGAUUCUGUGAGGAAAGGUGGCGCAAGCUAUCGCUAAGAGAUGGACCCGCGUUGCAUUAGCUAGUUGGUAGGGUAAAGGCCUACCAAGGCGACGAUGCAUAGCCGACCUGAGAGGGUGAUCGGCCACAUUGGAACUGAGACACGGCCCAGACUCCUACGGGAGGCAGCAGUAGGGAAUCUUCCGCAAUGGACGCAAGUCUGACGGAGCAACGCCGCGUGAGUGAAGAAGGUCUUCGGAUCGUAAAGCUCUGUUGUUAGGGAAGAACAGCGCAUAGAGUAACUGUUAUGCGUGUGACGGUAUCUAACCAGAAAGCCACGGCUAACUACGUG